rnacentral:lncRNA from 1 species
CAAAAUAUAGAUUGUAACAUAUAAAAUCAUCAUUAAGCACUUUGAAUGUUUUUCCGUCUACUCUAAAAUGUCUUCCAUAUGCUCAAGAAUGACAAUGUUGAAGAAUUUGUGAAAUUUCUUCUUCAGAGGAACAUCUUAGAAUUUGAUCCUUGCACUUCUUAUAGAGAAAAGGUUAAUCCCAUUAAUGCCCCGUUGCGCUGUGUCUGAAUGCGGCCUCUUUUGUUAAUACUCUAAGUUUGGAUGAACCAUUCCACACACCAAGUAAUUCAUAAUGUCAGCAUACCACGACGCUGAAGCUAUCUGGAUCUUUGAAAUUGCUUCAACAUCUGAAGCUACAUCUUUAACGGCCAGAGUUGUAGCUUGCACCAGUUGAUAAAAAGUUAUAUAUAUCGUGCUGCAGCAAUUUAUACAAGGUCUUAGGAAUAUGAGAGAAAUCUUCAAUAAAUCUUCUAUAAAAACCAGCAUGCCCCAGAAAACUUCGAACAACCUUCACAUUUGUAGAAGGAGGUAGCUUCUCAAGAACAUCAAUCUUGGCUUUGUCUACCUCUAAACCUUUAUUGGAAACUCGGUGUCCCAAUACUAUUCCUUCUUGUACCACAAGAUAGCACUUUUCCUAAUUCAAUACAAGAUUAGUCUCCUCACACAUUUCAUGAAAUUGCUCAAGAUUAUGAAGAUAUUUAUGGAAUGUUUCCCCAAAGACAAAGAAAUCAUCCAUAAAAACUUCAAUAGACUUUUCAAUAAAAUCAUAGAGUAAUGACAUCAUGCACCUUUAAAAAGUUGUUGGAGCAUUACAUAAUCCAAAUGGUAUUCUUCUGAAAGCAAAGGUACCAUAAGGACAUGUAAAUGCGGUGUUCUGGUGGUCAUUUAGAGCUAUAGCUUUCUAGUUGUAUCCAUAGUAGCCAUCCGAGAAGCAAUAGAAUUCCUGCCCAGUGAACCUAUCAAGCAUCUAGUUUAUGAAAAGAAAAGGAAAAUGAUCAUUUGUAGUAGCUUUGUUGAGCUUUCUAUAGUCUAUCCAUAUCCUCCAACCAGUAAUAGUUUUGGUUGGAACCUUUUCAUCUCUAUCAUUCUCUACCAUGUUUCCACAACACAUGCAACAACAACUUCUGCUGAGUGGAACCAAGAAGUGAGGAGAUUAUUAUAGGCAAAGUAUCAUUCUCCCCCAAAUACACAUAUUUCAAAUAAGGAAUGAGCGUCUUAAGCUCUAUAGUUGGUGGUUAUUCAAUUAAUGGAAGAUGUGUUUUCAAAUGUUCACUUGUCAGCCAAAGUGAUUCAUACAUUCUAUCAGAGACCCUAGCAGAUGGAGACUCUAAUUCAAGUUCAUCAGCAGGUUCUUCUUUCGAUUUAAUCCAAGUCUUCAAGCUGCUCUUCUUCAAAGUUUUGGUUAUUGAUUGUCGGAUUUAGGCAAGUGUACCAAAUUGUUUACCAAGUAAUAAACUGAUAAGUAAACUAUCGUAUUCAUAUGGAUUGUCAUUUCAACAAGACAACUUGCGCUACUUAUUUGGGAACAAUAAACAAUAAAAUAAAAUAAAAGAUAAAGGGGGUUUUUCUAGUCUAGUUUGUUUGCAGAAAAGUAUGAGUUUAAAAGUAACCUGUUUUGAUUGCAGAAUGUUGCGACGGAUAAGAUUCUUUGAAUCGCCUAUAUAUAUUUGGAAUUAACUGAUGGGCAACCAUUAUUCAAAUAUUAAAUUGACGUUUU